GGUUGACCUCGGAUCAGGUAGGGAUACCCGCUGAACUUAAGCAUAUCAAUAAGCGGAGGAAAAGAAACCAACAGGGAUUGCCCCAGUAACGGCGAGUGAAGCGGCAAGAGCUCAAAUUUGAAAGCUGGCCCCCUCGGGGUCCGCAUUGUAAUUUGCAGAGGAUGCUUCGGGAGCGGCCCCCAUCUAAGUGCCCUGGAACGGGCCGUCAUAGAGGGUGAGAAUCCCGUAU
rnacentral:rRNA from 1 species